UACAGAGGGUGCAAGCGUUAAUCGGAAUUACUGGGCGUAAAGCGCGCGUAGGCCGUCGGGUAAGUCGGGUGUGAAAUCCCUGGGCUUAACCUGGGAAUUGCAUUCGAUACUGCCUGACUAGAGUGUGGAAGAGGGAAGCGGAAUUUCCGGUGUAGCGGUGAAAUGCGUAGAUAUCGGAAGGAACACCAGUGGCGAAGGCGGCUUCCUGGUCCAACACUGACGCUGAGGCGCGAAAGCGUGGGGAGCAAACAGGAUUAGAUACCCCGGUAGU
rnacentral:rRNA from 1 species